rnacentral:rRNA from 1 species
UACGUAGGCAGCGAGCGUUGUUCGGAGUUACUGGGCGUAAAGCGUGCGUAGGCGGCGGUCCAUGUCUGGUGUGAAAUCUCCCGGCUUAACUGGGAGGGUGCGCCGGAAACGGGGCUGCUGGAGUGCGGGAGAGGUAAGCGGAAUUCCCGGUGUAGCGGUGAAAUGCGUAGAUAGUCGGGAGGAACACCGGUGGCGAAGGCGGCAUCCUGGACCGGUAUUGACGCUGAGGCGCGAAAGCUAGGGGAGCAAACGGG